AUUCAGCUGACGAGUCCCAAAAUAGGACGAAACACGCAUCUUUGAU
rfam:Schistosoma mattheei strain Denwood, Zambia genome assembly, scaffold: SMTD_contig0023544